rnacentral:miRNA from 12 species
GCCUUUCACAAGAGCUCAGCAUCAGCCUCAUUUGGCUCCCAGUGGCAUUGAAUGAGGCAGAAUUAGGCUGGAGCUGAGCUGCUGAAAGCU